CCUACGGGCGGCAGCAGUAGGGAAUCUUCCACAAUGGACGAAAGUCUGAUGGAGCAACGCCGCGUGAGUGAAGAAGGGUUUCGGCUCGUAAAGCCCUGUUGGUAGUGAAGAAAGAUAGAGGUAGUAACUGGCCUUUAUUUGACGGUAAUUACUUAGAAAGUCACGGCUAACUACGUGCCAGCAGCCGCGGUAAUACGUAGGUGGCAAGCGUUGUCCGGAUUUAUUGGGCGUAAAGCGAGUGCAGGCGGGUCAAUCAGGCUGAUGUGAAAGCCUUCGGCUCAACCGGAGAAUUGCAUCAGAAACUGUUGAACUUGAGUGGGGGAGAGGAGAGUGGAACUCCAGGUGUAGCGGUGGAAUGCGUAGAUAUAUGGAAGAACACCGGUGGCGAAGGCGGCUCUCUGGUCUGCAACUGACGCUGAGGCUCGAAAGCAUGGGUAGCGAACAGGAUUAGAUACCCCAGUAGUC
rnacentral:rRNA from 1 species